GAAAUGCGAUAAGUAGUGUGAAUUGCAGAAUUCAGUGAAUCAUCGAAUCUUUGAACGCACAUUGCGCCCUUUGGUAUUCCUUAGGGCAUGCCUGUUCGAGCGUCAUUUAAACCUUCAAGCUCAGCUUGGUGAUGGGUGACUGUCCUCCCCUCGCGGGGGGGACUCGCCUCAAAAACAUUGGCGGCCGGUACAUUGGCUUCGAGCGCAGCAUAAACGCGGUCUCGAGUCCGGUGGAUCGGCUCCCAUAAGCCUUCUUUUUUAUUUUGACCUCGGAUCAGGUAGGGAUACCCGCUGAACUUAAGC
rnacentral:misc_RNA from 1 species